GCACAAUUUCUAGUCAAUCCUGAUUUUUAUCUGCUAGAGCCAUGUAAUAGGGAUCAGGAUACACGUGAGUGAGAAACACAGCCGCUGAGUUUUGCUGAACAGCAUUAAUUCUCUCAUGCUUGCAGGUUUACCUUUUGUAAAUCUAAGACAUGGGGAUGUUGUAGUAUGGAUUUUUAUCACCCUCGACCAGGUUUGAACCCGCAAACUGUGGGUCCAGGUCCAGUGGCAAGGACAAUAACCACUAGGCCACGGACCGCCAAGGGGAAGGCCAGCCCCGCCGGCUGAAGAAGAAUAUGCAACGUCGUACAAGAUCUACUUUUCAAGGAAAAUAAGCUACUUUUAAAUAUUUUUAAUGUAUGUUAAAACAUGUUUAAUAAAAUUGUUAUUUUUAUAAAAA